rnacentral:tRNA from 1 species
GGCUUUAUAGCCUAGUGGCAUCAUGGGGGUGGGAUAAGGCUUUGAGACCAAUAGGUCGUGGGUUCGAUUCCCAUAAGGAGG